CCAUUAAGCUAUUAUUACUUGAAUUAUUAUUAUUUUAUUGUAAUUACGAGAAGUUGAACAUGGGAUUCCUAAAUUAUAGUAUGUUUUCUACGUUUCUGCAACUUAAUUUUUAAAUGAUAAAGUUUUCUUAAAUCAAAUGUUUUAAACAAGGCUUUCGCAACUGAAAGGUGUGUUUAUUCUUAAGUUAAUUAAGGUUUCUCUUGUUUAAGAAGGGUUUUCAAUGAAAACACGGUUUUUUCUAAAACACUUCAAUGUAACACGUC
rnacentral:lncRNA from 1 species